rnacentral:lncRNA from 1 species
UUUUCUUUAAAUAUAUUUAUUAGAAUUUAACCUGGCAUGUUGGGGGCUUACAGAGAAAAGCUGUAUUUUUCAUGGUUUACAUUUUGAUUUUUUUAAUGCAGAGCAGAUUGGACAGGAAAUGUUGGAAAACCUGAGCCAAGACAGAGAGAAGAUCCAGCGUUCUCGGGAAAGGCUUAGAGAAACAGAUGCAAACUUGGGGAAGAGCUCCAGGAUCCUAACCGGAAUGUUGCGAAGGGAUGAUUAUUUUGUAUUCGCAAACAAAUUUUGUCCUUCAGGCUGCAGUCCAGCAAACAUGAGCAACAAACCAAUCCCAAUCUGCUUACUUACCCACCCAGUUUCCAAAACACUUGUAUAAUUAGUUGAAGAGAUUGUAAAAUGGACUGGACCACCUUCCUAAAUCUGCUUUUUGAGUUGUACUUGAGAUUCUGAAAGUUUUGAAGUUUCAGGAAUGGGUUGCUCUAACUUCUGAAAUGUGUGUAUUUUACUCUCUGAAAGGCACUCAACUGAUUAGUCUUCAGUGUGACCCUGAACAUGUUUUUUUAAUGGGGAAGGAAGUCUGGACAGAGUUCUGCAUUUUAGUCCUUUCCUGAUGGACCAAAUACCUUUAGGCAGGGUUGGCCUGAGGUCAUAAAUGCCUCCCUGUGAACACUGAAAAAGGAACCUUCACACCCUUCACAAGAUCAUGAAAACUGUGGAAAAGCCCAGUUUCCAUUUAGGGUCCCUCUGGUUGCAAGAUCUGCAGGUGCGCUUGAACUUUGACUUCAUCUGCUGUGGUUUCAUGAAGUGUAUGGGCACCUGGUAUGGUUAUUAAACUGAGGUGUCUGAGAUCAUAACAAAGUAGAGGCUUUUCUACUCCCCUAAUAGAAAUGCUGUAACAUGCUGAAAAGAAAACACUCUAAUAGUGGUGAGUAUCUCCUGUCAACUAAUUUGAUAGUUCUCUAUCAGGUAAACCAUUUGUGAAUACAUCGAUCCUUUUUAUUUUUCACUGUUCUGUCUUAGCUAUUCCCAGGAUUUCUCUGAACCAGUUGAGCAAAAAUUGAUUUUUAUUUGUUCCACUGGCCUUGUGGAAAAUUAGCUUAUGAACUGGUUUUUAUAGGGAGACUCAAAGCACAGCACAGGUUGAAAAAUAAGCCUAUAGCAGUCAGAAUUGUUGUCUGAAAUGUCUUCAGACUGGAAGGCUGAAUUUAUUGCACAAAACAAGUCCUAGCAAUGUGGAGGUGCGCAGUCCAGCUCAUUAUCACUGGAAAAGGGGAAACCAAAAAGCACAGUAAAAAAUUAAAUUUUAAUAAUGCUAGUGAUAUUUUCUAAAUCCUUCCUGACAGAAAGAUUCUCAUUAUUUUUAUCUGUCUCAGAGU